UGUAUAGUGCUACAGCUGGCAGAAUCGC
rnacentral:sRNA from 1 species